CGCUUUCAGCCCAACUAAUUGAAAGUCCGACCUGCCCAGUGAAUUUUUAACGGCCGCGGUAUCCUGACCGUGCUAAGGUAGCAUAAUCCCUUGCCUUUUAAUUGAUGGCUAGUAUGAAUGGUCAGACGAAUGUAAAAUUGUCUCUAGUAAGCCCUCUAAAACCUAACCUUUAGGUGCAAAGGCCUAAACCUCUAAGGAGGACAAAAAGACCCUAUCGAGCUUUACAUCAACUAAGCCAAUCUAGCUUACUCAUUGUUUUGUUGGGGCAACAAAGGAACAAAUAAACCUUCCUUCCUCUCCAUCCCGAUAAACCAACAAACCGAUUUUAUCUACUAAAACAAAAGCUACCGUAGGGAUAACAGACUAAUCCCCCCUGAGAGCUCCCAUUGACGGGGAGGCUUGGCACCUCGAUGUUGGCUUAGGGCAUCAUUAAGAAGCAGCCUUCUUAAUUGUAGGUUUGUUCAACCUUUAAUAGCCCUA
rnacentral:rRNA from 1 species